GCGGCUGUGCUGGAACUGGUAGACUGGCAAGCUUGAGGUGCUUGUGUCCAUAUGGGCGUGCGGGUUCGACUCCCGCCAGCCGCACCA
rnacentral:tRNA from 1 species